rnacentral:rRNA from 1 species
AACGUACGCUGGCGGCACGCCUAACACAUGCAAGUCGAACGAAGUAGCAAUACUUAGUGGCAAACGGGUGAGUAACAUGUGGGUAUCUGCCCUUCGGCCUGGAAUAACACGGGGAAACUUGUGCUAAUACCAGAUAAGUCUUUUAAGAGAAAGCUUUAUGCACCGAUGGAUGAGCCCGCACCUGAUUAGUUAGUUGGUGAGGUAAUAGCUCACCAAGACAAUGAUCAGUAGCUGGUUUGAGAGGAUGAUCAGCCACAUUGGGACUGAGACACGGCCCAAACUCCUACGGGAGGCAGCAGUGGGGAAUCUUGCACAAUGGGGGAAACCCUGAUGCAGCGAUGCCGCGUGAGUGAAGAAGGCCUUUGGGUUGUAAAGCUCUUUCGUCGGGGAAGAAAAUGACUGUACCCGAAUAAGAAGGUCCGGCUAACUUCGUGCCAGCAGCCGCGGUAAUACGAAGGGACCUAGCGUAGUUCGGAAUUACUGGGCUUAAAGAGUUUGUAGGUGGUUAAAAUAGUUGGUGGUGAAAUCCCAGAGCUUAACUCUGGAACUGCCAUCAAAACUUUUUAGCUAGAGUAUGAUAGAGGAAAGUAGAAUUUCUAGUGUAGAGGUGAAAUUCGUAGAUAUUAGAAAGAAUACCAAUUGCGAAGGCAGCUUUCUGGGUCAUUACUGACACUGAGGAACGAAAGCAUGGGUAGCGAAGAGGAUUAGAUACCCUCGUAGUCCAUGCCGUAAACGAUGUGUGCUAGACGUUGGAAAUUUUAUUUUCAGUGUCGCAGCUAAAGCGAUAAGCACACCGC